GCUAGGUGUGGUGGCACACACCUGUAGUCCCAGUUACUCAGGAGGCUGAGGUAGGAGGAUCGCUUGAGCCUAGGAGUGCUGGACUAUGCCAGUUGGUCUCCACACUGAGUUCAGCAUAAAUAUUGUAACCUCCAGGAAGCUGGGGAAUCACCAGGUUGCCUAAGGAAGGGCGCACCUGCCCAGGUCAGAAAGGGAAGAUGUCAUAUAAGUGGUGAUGGUGGCUCAUGCCUGCAAUCCCAGCAUUUUUGGGAGGUUGAGGCUGGAGGAUUGCUUGAGCCUAAGAGCUUGAGACCAGCCUGGGUAACAUAGCGAGACCUUGUUUCU
rnacentral:SRP_RNA from 1 species